GUAGAUUAUAAAAACUUUUUUGAGCAUCACAUCCACAAACGACGUUAUCAAACAGGCAAGGCAAACACUUCACAAAAAGAACACAAAAUGCACAGGCACAAUGCUACCGUCAGACACACUAAACGGUUUACAUAAAUUCAACAACAAGAUGGCAUACUAUUUGGUGGAACCAAACAAGCAGGACUUCCGCCUCGUUAAAAAUUUGUGUCACGCGAACUCAUCAAGCCAGAGCCGGACGAAAGCAAUUAUGUUGCAAAGACAAAAAGAGGAAGGCGAAGAAACACAACAUUGAAUAACGUUCAUCACACAGGUUGACGUAAGGAAAAAGAAUGGUGUUACAUCAGAAGUUUUACCAAUGACCAUUAGAAGGCGAUGCACGUGUUUGUACUGGCCCAUUGGGAUCUUGGCACUACUUUUACCUCCGCCCAGCCAGCUGCACUUACAUAAGAAAGUGGCACUAAAUAAUUUUAUUUCUGCAUCGUUCAUUCGAUUUUCUGGAGUAACAGAAGCAAGGGAAUUAGAUAUUCUUUUAGCAGUAGCGAUAAAAUUACUUUUAUCGCUCAACAAUCGUUCAAAAUUGUCUAACGCUUCUUUGUUUUCAA